rnacentral:lncRNA from 1 species
AAAGAAAAUUAAAAAUCUAACAUAAAUCUCUUUUUUCUGAGAAGAGCAAAGGGAGGUCAAGUAGGUAAGUGACUUUCCCCAGGCUGCUCUCUUCCCAAUACAAUGUUUUCUCCACCACAUCAUGCCAAAUCCAUUUUCUGAACAGUGAAAGGGUUAGUAAGAAGCUCGAGUUAAACUGUCAGCAAAAUGAGUUUGUGACCCAGAUUAAAGAGGAAAUAGUAGAAAAAAGGGGGAAUAUAGUAAAAAUGGGUAUUGGCAUCAAUGAUCUAUUUCCUAAGUCACCCCCAAAUCACAGAUACUAGAAAACAGAAAAGUCUAUGCAUAUUUCUUCUGCAGUAUUUCUAAGUAUGACAGGUUAACAAGCUAAAAGAUUAUUUAGCUAUUAAAAAUGACAAAUAUAAUAACCUUAUCAAUAUAUGGGAAUGUUUUUAUAAAAUGGUCAAUAGGCAGAAAAUAACACAGUAACAAUGAAGAAGAAUGUAAAAAUUUACGCGUAUAUUCUGAUGACAAGAGAAGGAGAACUGAGUGAUAGUCAGCAGUUUAGAGUUUUACAUUCCUUGGGUUAUUUCUUCUAGAUAGUUCCUUAACAAACUACAAACUUCUUUUUUUUCAAAAAGUUGAGCAACUUUUGCCUCUGCCUCCCAAAGUGCUGAAAUUACAGGCAUAAGCCACCACUCCCGGCCUCUUACUGUCAUUUUUAAAAGAACAAGACUAACCAGGCAUGGUGGCUA